rnacentral:rRNA from 1 species
AUUAAACGCUGGCGGCAUGCCUUACACAUGCAAGUCGAACGGCAGCACGGGGGCAACCUUGGUGGCGAGUGGCGAACGGGUGAGUAAAGCAUCGGAACGUGCCCUGGAGUGGGGGAUAACGUAGCGAAAGUUACGCUAAUACCGCAUAUUCUGUGAGCAGGAAAGCAGGGGAUCGCAAGACCUUGCGCUCUGGGAGCGGCCGAUGUCGGAUUAGCUAGUUGGUGGGGUAAAGGCCUACCAAGGCGACGAUCCGUAGCGGGUCUGAGAGGAUGAUCCGCCACACUGGGACUGAGGCACGGCCCAGACUCCUACGGAGGCAGCAGUGGGAAUUUUGGACAAUGGGCGAAAGCCUGAUCCAGCCAUGCCGCGUGAGUGAAGAAGGCC